CCGCCCGUCACACCAUGAGAGUCUGCAACACCCGAAGUCAGUAGUCUAACCAGUAAUGGAGGGCGCUGCCGAAGGUGGGGCCGAUGAUUGGGGUG
rnacentral:rRNA from 1 species